GCGGCUUUAGCUCACUUGGGAGAGCGCCAGACUGAAGUUAACUUUGGAACAUAUAUAUCUGGAGGCACUGUGUUCGAUCCACAGAAGCCGCA